rnacentral:RNase_P_RNA from 2 species
GAACGAACCAUUUCAAUCCGCGCAUACUCUCGGACAAAAGGAGGGCAUCUUCGUCAUUUCGGUGCAAUGCCCUCGUCAUUUACGUGAGAGUGGGAAAUUCGGUGUAUUACUCCAUCCUGGGGGUGGUUUCUUCCACCCUCCAUAGACCUACCUAGCCCUUGAGGGUGUACCUUGACGUGCAAGCGUCGGACGGAUAUCAUCAGAGAAACAGUCGGCUCCCUUCUUUCACGAGGAGGGGUCGUCAUGGGAAGAUUCCGUGGAUGGUUGAUCCCAGUACACGUCUGUCUGCUGGGAUUGUUUAGUUCAAUGCGUGGAUCAUUUAUUCGUUUAUGAAACUCGAUACCGAUCAUUGAAAUUUUUUCGGUUCGUUC